UACGAAGGGGGCGAGCGUUGUUCGGAUUUACUGGGCGUAAAGGGCGCGCAGGCGGCUUUGUUUGUCAGGCGUGAAAGCCCCGGGCUUAACCUGGGAACUGCGUUUGAUACGGCAGGGCUAGAGUUCGGGAGAGGAGAGUGGAAUUCCCAGUGUAGAGGUGAAAUUCGUAGAUAUUGGGAAGAACACCGGUGGCGAAGGCGGCUCUCUGGACCGAUACUGACGCUGAGGCGCGAAAAGCGUGGGGAGCAAACAGG
rnacentral:rRNA from 1 species